CAAGUGUGGAUAGCUAAGUCGAAUGUUUACUGAGGGUGAUAAAUAGAGCAAAAGUUAACACUCUGAACUGUUUAAAUGAGUAAUUGCGUUCAGUAUAAUAUUGUUAUAAUAAUUACACGAUAUGAAGAUACAUACAACUACGCUUUGUAUUAUAUCCAACAUUUUAUAUAACGUUAGAUUAGGUCCAAUGACAAACUAAUGAAUCAUCAGCCGCAACAUCCGAUGAUAAAUUCGCAUUUAAGUGAUUAUUGUUUAUAAUAUUUGCUCAGUUUUAAGCAACUUUACGAACUUAAUCACUCGAUGUCAUUAGUCAAUGGGGAAUAAUUAUUUUAAGAGAGUAAAUACCGCCCUCUGGUGGUCACUUGCAGUUCUGACAUUCACAUGAUACAUGACAAGCGUUAGAUGUGAUUAAAGAAACACGGGAUCGCUUGCAUUGCACUGCCACUGACUGCAGAGAAAAUGGACUUUUAUAUACGCGUGUGCAUCUAGGUUAAAAUGAUGUUAAUAAAGAAUCUGAGGCACUUGUUCCGAGUAUGCUUAAAAACUGCUGUGUAUCCCAGCAUGCACUGCGCCAGGUCAUCCAAUAGUCUAUGUUUUUGUUAAAAUCGUACAUGAAAACACAUAUUUUUCACGACUUGCCUUUGCUGCAGCAUUUCGAUUACAUAUCCCAGUCCGCCGUGACUCUGUCUACGCGAUAGGGAAUGAUAAAUACACUUACCGUCGAGGGAACUGCUGGGUUGUUUGGUGACGUCUCCUCUCUGGCAGUAGGUACGUCAGCUUUGCGCAGUGGCAGUAUCGUAGCCUAUGAGGUUUAUCCGAGGCGCGAUUAUUGCUAAUUGAAAACUUUACCCAAUACCCCGCCGUGACGACUUGAAAUAUAGUCGGCACUGGCAAUUUUUGACGGUCUCUACGGAGACUGAUAAACUCGGUGAAUAUAAGAAAAUUAACAUUUGAUAGUGUGUUCUUGUUACGUUAUGCUGAUAUGGAGUCGUAGAUGGUGAGUCUGCUGAUUUCAUAGUUUAACGGUCUUUUCUACUUUUCAAAUAGACUCUUUGAAUACUUAGGCUGUGAUGACGUUUUUUAACGGUCAUCAAUAUCGUAAAUCCAGAAAAGUUUUUUAUAUUUAAUUUUUUUUUUUUAAACGUAUGUACAUUUAUAACACUAUACAUAGUAUUAUAUUACCUUUGCAUCAAAUAAAUAAUAAAAAAAAAAAAAACUAGCUAAGGGGGUGACGGUAAAAAUGACAUCUUUCUCUCUUCUGACUGCCGUUAUCAAUCGCUUUCUAUUUUGUUUUUUCCUCUUUUUGAAAGUUGUGAAAACACAAUUGUGGAGUUUGUUUUAUGCUAUUUGUGCAAAUGGAAACACAAAAAAAUAUAUUUAAUGAAGUCUCUCAUUUACUGCUAUGAAAGUUAACCCAACUAUGACGGCUUCCGCUUCUGAGAAACCAGGAAAUGUGAAAAGGACGGCAUUUACUUUACUUUAAACCUAUAUAUAUAUAUAUAUAUAUAUAUAUAUAUAUAUAUAUAUAUAACGUAAUUAGCCCUACUUUACUGUUUUAUCUGCAAGUGACAAAUAUUUUUAAGGUGUUAAAUAAAUGUGUAAAAUAAUGACUGAGUAAAAUAUUCUAUUUUAAAAAUUAUUCCUACUUUACUGUGACGUACAGUUUUAAAGCUGUAAAAAAUGUUCGCACAAUAUCAAAUUGAAAUGUGAAAAAAUAUCAAAUAAAUGUAUAUUUAUUUUUUUGCUCUGAAAAAAAUAAAUAAAAUAAGCAGGACUUAUUCUGAUGUAUUGAAAAACAACAAUAAUUCAAAGCUGUAUUACACUUAAUUGUUUUGAUGCUUGAAAACCCUUUUUCGGAAAUAAACACAAUUACAUGAAUGAAACAUUUGAUUGAGAAACCAAGAAAUUGCUAUUAAACUAAUGAAAUAACAUAAUGAUGUAAAAAAGUUUAUGCAGUGUUUGCAUUAGAACAUUUCCUGGUUGUAAACGGAAGUACCGUAAAUAAUCGUAAUUUCGCGCAUUUUAUAUAUAUUUGCCGAAUCAAAACUCUUUCAAUGAAGGCAUAUUAAUUGUUUAAUAUUUAUUCGCUAUUCAGUGUUACUCUGUUCAGAGCAGUAUGAUGUAAUUAUAUAGUUGUUCAUUUAACAGACAGUUCAUAUUAAGUGAGCGUUUUUCUCUGCAGUUAUGGUAGUUACUGACGUCAUGUAGCCACAGAGAGAUAGCUUUGAGGUAUAUGGUUUAUUUGAGCAGAUAAUUGCUUCGUAUUGAAAGAAACGGUCUGCUGCCUGAUGCGACUGGGAAAAACUAAUUGAUUUGCAACAAAAAUGGCCACAAAAGUAAACAAAAACGGUAAGCGACCGCUGCAACAAGACAGUCAUGAGGACAAUUCCAUCACAAAAGUAAGAAAAGUCAACUUGGACGAUUCAAGACACAUCGCUGCUGUUAUUCUCGCCCGUGGAGGAAGCAAAGCCAUCCCUCUGAAGAACAUAAAGAAGCUGGCAGGUGUUCCUCUGAUCGGAUGGGUGAUCAGAGCAGCGCUGGACUCGGAGGUCUUUGACAGUGUUUGGGUGUCCACUGAUCAUGAUGAGAUUGAGAGAGUGGCCAGGGCUUGGGGUGCUGAAGUGCACAGGAGGAGUCCAGAGGUGUCCAAAGACACUUCGAGCUCACUGGACACCAUUCGGGAGUUCAGCAGACAGAACCCAGAUGUGGGGGUCAUCUGUAACAUCCAGGCCACAUCUCCAUGUCUGCACCCUUUCCAUCUCAAAGAGGCUCUGGAGUUCAUUACCAAGCAAGGGUAUGAUUCUGUCUUCUCUGUGGUCCGGCGACACCAUUUCCGAUGGAAAGAGGUCGAGAAACAAGGGAACAUCUGUGCUGAAGCGCAGAACCUGGACCCAGCUAAAAGGCCGCGCCGUCAGGACUGGGACGGAGAGCUGUGUGAAAAUGGCUCCUUUUACUUUGCAACCAAAGGACUCAUUGAAAAAAGUCUUCUUCAGGGUGGAAAAACCAGGUUAUAUGAGAUGGACCCAAAGUACAGCGUGGAUAUUGAUAUUGACAUAGACUGGCCCGUAGCUGAACAGAGAGUGAUGAGCUUUGGUUACUUCGGUAAGAACAAACCUAAAGUUGUGAAGCUCCUGCUGUGCAACGUGUCAGGAUGUUUGACAGACUGGCAGAUCAACAUCUCAGCGAAUAAAGAGGAGGAGAUGGUGUCCAUCAACAUCAGAGACCAGGCCGGUAUCAACAUGCUGAUGAAAGAGGGAGUGGAGGUUAUUUUGAUAGAAAAAAACCCCAUAUCAAAAGCCUUAGCUGACAAACUCUCCAAGAGGAUGGGCUGUCAAGUUCUGCUCGAAGUGAAUUACAAACUGAAACAGGUGAAGGAACUCAUGAAGAAGAAAGGGCUGGAAUGGAAAGAGGUUGCAUACUUGGAAGUAAAAAGUUGGAAACAUCUUUGCUGCAAUGAACAUCCUGAGAGUGGCAUUCGGAUGAAUAUGUGAAUAUGUGCUGCAUGCUUUCCUCUUAAUAACAAAAUAAACACACAACAAAAAUGACAGCAGUGAGAAAGUGGCAGUUAAGAAAGCAUCUGAUAAUUGCGAUGUGGAUAUGUUGGCACAGCUCACCGAUUCACCAGCAUCAUGACAGCAGGCAAUGAUGACCAAGAUGUAAAGUACCUGAACCGGGCAGGGCUAAGCGCAGUACCCCUGGAUGCCCCGGUGCCACUCAACGCUGCCAAGUACUCUUGCAACUGCACGGCAGGUCGCGGGGCCGUGCGAGAGUUUGCCGAAC